rnacentral:rRNA from 1 species
AACGAACGCUGGCGGCAUGCCUAACACAUGCAAGUCGAACGGGAUCCUAGCUUGCUAGGUGAGAGUGGCGGACGGGUGAGUAACACGUGGGAAUCUGCCUUUUGGUUCGGGAUAACCGCGGGAAACUGCGGCUAAUACCGAAUGCCCUCGAGAGAGGAAAGAUUUAUCGCCAGAAGAGGAGCCCGCGUCCGAUUAGGUAGUUGGUGGGGUAAAGGCCUACCAAGCCGACGAUCGGUAGCUGGUCUGAGAGGAUGAUCAGCCACACUGGGACUGAGAUACGGCCCAGACUCCUACGGGAGGCAGCAGUGGGGAAUAUUGGACAAUGGGGGCGAACCCUGAUCCAGCAAUGCCGCGUGAGUGAAGAAGGCCU